rnacentral:tRNA from 1 species
GCCUCUUUAGCAUAGUGGUAGUGCAUUCGCCUUGUAUAUUUAAAUCGCAAGCGAAAGGUCCUGGGUCCGAUUCCCAGAAGAGGCACCA